GGAUUGUGGUUCAGUGGAAGAAUGCUUGUCUAGCACAUGUGAGACACCGGGUUCAAUCCUCAGCACCA
rnacentral:tRNA from 1 species